GUCCACCCCCACACGGCAGCCCCGGGGGAGAGGGCCAUGGAGAGGCGGGGCUUCGCUGGAUGGGCAGGAGGUCGACAGAGACCGAGUUCGGGAGGCAGCUGGGCUGCCGUGAGGGCCGUCACAUCUAAGAGGACGGCACCCCAAAGCCGGCUCCGCUCCCGCAGCUUAGCUCCGAGUAGAGAGUAGGCGGACGGGCACCGCCCAGCUGUGGCUCUGCCUAAGGGAGAGACAGCCCUCAACUACCGUCCAGCCCGGCCACAGAGGAACAGGGAACCUUUUCUCCUGUUUCCGUGCACCCCCUACACGCUGUUCUCUUCUCCCCUAAUCAUCCAGUCCCGAGAGUCUGCCGUAACUCCUGACUCCGAGGCUCGGGGCCUCUCGUUAGUUCUGGAAGGUGACCAGCCUCUUCUCCUGGAUUCCGGCCGGCCCUGCACCCGUCUCUGCCCAGGGCUCUAAUCUACGUGCUGGAACACAGAAGGAGCAAACGAGCCUCCUGGAAUAAAUGAAAAUGCACAUCUCAGCGCGGGCGUGCACCAGCAACAAAGGGCGGGACACGCGACACGCCGGCCACCGUCUGAAGGAAGGUCUCGCCGAGAACUGCGGUCUCACGAAUCACACGCGAGCAGCUCACCUGAAGAGCCUUGCAGCGUGUGUCGGGAGAGUUGGUAAUUAAACGCCCGAAACCCCUACUGACUUUAUUAGAGAUAGGAUCGUCCUUACACGGUUAGAUCAUAAUUAUUUUCUAUUACAUAUUUCUAUUACAUAUUAUAAUAUGUCAGGAAGUUGACAUUUAGUUGAGGGAAGUAUUAGCCUUAUGGGCUUUUUUUUAAAACUCCCCCGGGACCUGCACUCACCAAGGAGUAUCUACAGCUGCCCACAAAGGGUGUGCAAACCCACAGAGGAGGCUUACCAAGCAUGGGGGGCUCUGAGACCACAAAUCCUCUUCCUCAGCCCUGGCCACACGGGACCCUGAUGUCACAGCUGACAGAUGCCCUCGUGAGUCAGCCUCGUGACACAACAUCACCCUGGUGGUGUUUUUGAUAAAAAUUUAAAAAUUCGAUAAAAAUUUAAAAUUUCGGGGGAGCCUGGGUGGCUCAGUCGGUUGAGCAUCCGACUUUGGCU